AUUGAACGCUGGCGGCAUGCUUUACACAUGCAAGUCGAACGGUAACAGGGAGCUUGCUCCGCUGACGAGUGGCGAACGGGUGAGUAAUGCGUCGGAACGCGCCGAGUAGUGGGGGAUAACGCAUCGAAAGGUGUGCUAAUACCGCAUACGUACUGAGGUAGAAAGUGGGGGACCUUCGGGCCUCACGCUAUUCGAGCGGCCGACGUCUGAUUAGCUAGUUGGUGAGGUAAAGGCUCACCAAGGCGACGAUCAGUAGCGGGUCUGAGAGGAUGAUCCGCCACACUGGGACUGAGACACGGCCCAGACUCCUACGGGAGGCAGCAGUGGGGAAUUUUGGACAAUGGGCGCAAGCCUGAUCCAGCCAUGCCGCGUGUCUGAAGAAGGCCUUCGGGUUGUAAAGGACUUUUGUCCGGGAGCAAAUGCUGGUGGCUAACAUCCACCGGAGCUGAGAGUACCGGAAGAAUAAGCACCGGCUAACUACGUGCCAGCCGCCGCGGUAAGGC
rnacentral:rRNA from 1 species